AAAGUGAGCGCUGCUAGUCAUCACGUCCAAUCUUUCUAGCCCUGCACCAUCAGGUCCUAAUAUUUGUCAUGGGUAUUACCCUAAAGCAACAGAACAUAAAGAUCUGAGUCAUUUUGAAAAAAAUAAGUGUUUAUCCAGCAGCUGUAACCGUCAGAAACAAACCACUCUGAGAGAACGGAUGCCCAUGCACCAGAUGGAGAGGGCGUGCGGCUGACCUCCCAGCCUUGGCCCUGUUGCCGUCACUUCCUGCAGAGCGUAUGAGGCAAGAACCGGGCAAAAUGAUGAGGUCACUGAAUCUUGGGCCACACUGCCAUUAAGUGGGAAAGUAGAGAUACAAUCCCACUCUUUUGAGACAAGAACCAGGGAGAUUUCCACUACCUAGCAGCUGCCUACUAUGUGCAAGGCCCUGUGCUGGGUGUUGCAAAGGAUUUACAUGAGUACCUGAUUCCCACAGACCAGCUUGCACAGGAAAAGAACCUGAAGAAUAAUCUGGUGGAUGAACUCGUUAUUCCCUCCACAGAGACAACUUUUAGUCUCACUGUUGAAUAUUCGUGAGUCCAAUGAACCUAAACUGCACACACAAAAAAUCUAAUAGGAUAGAAAAAUAAAUCAAAUUUUUAAUUGGCCUAAACUGUCAUUUACUUUCCAUCUUAGCAUGUAGGUUUUGGGUAUUUGUUGUGCGUGGUUUGCAUUUUGUUUAAAUUAGAAUGGCUGUUUCUAUAAAACUCACCUCUCACUUGUGACCCCAACCCUGAAUUAGAAAUAAAGGAAUACAGUUGUCAUCACAGCGCACUUACAGGGAUUUGAGCCUAAUCCU